ncrna:unclassified sequences RT-5 RNA
AGGUACCUGUGAUAGGCAAAGCACCAGCUUAGAUAAAAAUCGUGCAGGUGAUGAGUUGGUGUACGGUCUGGUAUGCGUAACACGCAUGUUAAAUGCAUUUU